rnacentral:misc_RNA from 1 species
GAUGAAGAACGCAGCGAAAUGCGAUAAGUAAUGUGAAUUGCAGAAUCCCGUGAACCAUCGAGUCUUUGAACGCAAGUUGCGCCCGAAGCCAUUAGGCCGAGGGCACGCCUGCCUGGGUGUCACACACCGUUACCCUCGCGCCAACGUCCAUCGUUGGCCGCGGCGCGGGGCGUGCGCUGACCUCCCGCGAGCGGGGUCUCGUGGUUGGUUGAAAAUCGAGUUCGCGGUCGAGGGUGCCGUGAUGAAAUGGUGGAUGGGCGACGCCCGAGGCCAAUCACGCGCGACUCUGUCCGGCUCGGACUCCUGGACCCCUUCGGCGUCUCCGGACGCUCUUUGGCGAGACCUCAGGUCAGGAGGGGCUACCCGCUGAGUUUAAGCAUAUCAAUAAGCGGAGGA